AAGCCUCCCUGGGAGAGAGGACAAGAACAGGCUGGAGGAGGGGUGCCCUUCAUCAUCUUGUGAGCAUCUGGGCCAAGUUCAGGGCUGGUGCUCUCGUUCAGACAGAUUUAGCUGGUGGUGCAGAGAUCCGUGAGCUUGCUUUUACAGGACUUUAAUGAUAUAUAAAAGCAGCACGAGGUGCUCCUGACUGUGGAUUAAUUUGGAGAUGACUUUCUCUGUUGAAGAGUAGCAAGACUCUCGCGAGUUCUUAAAAAUGCACUUGUUUGGUAUGAGAAUGAAAAGCAGUGGCUGAAGAACCAAUCUUCAAUGGGCAAGCCUUCUCUGAUGCCUUGUUUGAGGUAUAGUGUGAAUCCAUUAGCACUGAACUCAGGACCAGCAACGGUGUGACUCAGGCCUGAAGGAAGCUUUUCUAGCACAUGGAUUUCCUCUGUAAGGCACCUCACAGCCUCUCGUGCCUGGGAACUCUAGCCAGCACUGCAGCACGAUGCCUAGGGCCAUUAUAAAUGUGAAAUCACCAAAGAAACCCCACAAAAAUGUGAAAAUCACGGCACUAAAUAGACCACAAAAAGGAUGCUUGUUUGCAGUAUGAGAACUGGAACCAGAAGCCUGAGGUUGAUCUUAAGAUCAGAUUAAGAAAAUGUGGCACAUAUACACCAUGGAAUACUAUGCAGCCAUAAAAAACGAUGAGUUCAUGUCCUUUGUAGGGACAUGGAUGAAGCUGGAAACCAUCAUUCUCAGCAAACUAUCGCAAGGACAAAAAACCGGACACCGCAUGUUCUCACUCAUAGUGUCUGUUCUAACACGUGCCAUUUGGGAUCCCUUGGAAUCUUCAUGUACAGAACUGGUUGCUGCCUCGUUGAGUCGGUGGGGACAGAAUAGCUCCUGGUUGACAGCAUGGGUUGUGCAGAAGGACGGAUCCUGCAGACAUCAAUAUCUGGCUUUGAGUGGCACAAAGAAAUAAAGGAAUGUGGAUUCAGACCUCACUGGGAUGCUUGGCAAUUCUAAUUCUACCCCAGACUGCAAAUGGACACACAACUGUUGUGACUUUUGUUGAAGAGGAGAAGGAUGGGUGAGCAUGUGACGUUGGGAAAUUGUAUUUUCUUCUUCGAGUUCUUCUGUUUCUGAAUAUUUAAUCCUACUGUUCUCUUCUUUAGUGAAGGUCUCUUUAGUCAAUAAUCUCUUUGCUGAAAUUGCUUCGGGCAGCACAGAAGCUGGAUUCAGAAGCACACAGGUCUGGGGAUGCAGGCUUCGGCCAGCCUGAUGCAAGGAAAGACUGCCAUCUCGUGGUCAGCUCAAUCCUGGCACCUUGGUGAGGGUCCAGGCUACAGAAAACCAGGCUUGGGGAGGAAAUGGUGCUGCAAACUGGAUUUCUGCCGGACAGUGUGGAUGCCCUUAGAAAACACCCAGAAAAGAGCUGAGUGCCCCCCAAGGUAGGCUUCAGUGAAUCCUCUGCAGGUGUGUUGUCAUCCCUUGAGCCAAACACAUGCUUCACACACACACUGCAGGCUGUGUGAAAAUGAGGUAGAAAUGUGGGGAAAACAUAAUCCCAUGGAGAGAACAAAGAGCUGAACACGUAAAUGUCUCCGGCGUGCCUGGCAGAGAGAACACUCAGGCUGAGAGAAGGGACAGUUACUUGUACCAAAGGUAGGCAAGUAGCCUUUGGGGGGGGUCUCAAUCAGCAGGGCAUCUGGUCAACCCCUCAGACAAAGUCAGGUCUGAGCAGGCAAGAUCCAUGGAUCUGAUUUAUUAAUAUUUUUACAAUUAAAUAGAAUCUGAUUGUAAAACUGUUACAUGUGUUGUAAGAAAAAAAGAAAAAACGAACGAUAUAGAAAUGUACAAAGAAGGAAAUAAAAGACUGGAAGCGUCCUCACCUUAGGGACCCAUGAUUAACGCUUAGGUGGCCAAUCUUCCAGACAUCUUGCUACGAAUAUAUUCAAACGGAAAUAAAAAUGUACUUUUACACAAGUGCAAUCAGACCUUGUACUCCUCUAUCCCAUAACCUGCUUUUUCAUUCAACACUAUGACAGAAGCGUCUUUCCAGGUCCAUAAAUAAAGGUUGGCCUCAUCGUUUUUUAUCAAUUACAUAAAGCUAAUGGUAUAUAAUACUGAUUUCAUACCUGCUAUAUGCCAGGCACAUACAUGAUCUUGCAUAAUCUCAUAACGACUCUAUUAAACGGGAGUUUGUAUUAUGCCCAUUAAGCAGAUGAACAGGCUGUGGCACAAGAAAAUUGAUCAGCACUGCCAGGGUAUCUGACCUCAGAGCCCAGGAUCUUGACUAGUAGGCUAGAAAUGAACAUAAUUUACUUACUAGUUUUCCAGUGAUGGACAUUAAGCUAUUUCCUACUUUUCUGGUAUAAAAAAUAAGAUUGCAGUGAAACUUCAGGGCAUAUACAUCUUUGCACGUUAGUGAGUUCUCUCUAAGUUAACCUGAAAGUGGUGGGCUGUGGAGUUUGUGGGUCAAAGUGUAUGCUCGAUUUAUGCUUUACUAUGUGCCCGACUUCCCUCCAGGCAGCAUGUGCCAGCUCACACUCCCAACAGCUGCGCAGGAGAAUUUCCAGUGCCCCACGACCUUGUCAAUACUAGGCUUCCUCAUCAGUUUUUUCUCUCCUUUAUUUUUCCUUAGGAAAAAAAAAAAAAACAGCCUUUGAAAAAAAUUGUACGAACAAGUGCAAUGUGCGCUUGUAAGUGCUUCACCAAAUGUAGAUCCACCCGGUGUUAACCUUUUGCCACAUCUGCUCUCUAUUAGUUUUUAUCAAACUUUGGAAUUAUCUAUAGACAUCAUAACACUUGAUGCCUAAAUACUUCAGUGUGUGUCUCUUAAGAACAAAGACACAACCUUACCUAAGCAUAAUAUAAUUGGUACACUUGGGAAUUGCUAAAAUACAUUGCUAAAAUACAGUUUUCUAAUACAGAAUCUAUAUCAAGUCAUUGAAUAAAGACACUUCUUGACUUAAAAUGAGAUUACAUCCCAUAAACCCAUCAUAAGUUGAAAAAAUGUAAGUAAAAAUGCAUUUAAUACACUAAAUCUGCUGAAUAUUAUAACAACUUUGCCUACAUUAAAUGUGCUCAGAACACUUACAUUAGCCUACGGUUGGAAAAAAUUAUCCAACACAAAGGCUGUUUUAUAAUAAAGUGUUAGAUAUCACAUGUAAUGUAUGGAAUACUGUACUGAAAGUGAAAAACAGAAUGGUUGUAUGGGUUCUCACAAUACGGUUUCCACUGAAUGCCUAUCACUUUUGCACCAUUGUAAAACUGAAGAAUUGUAAGUUGAACAAUUGUAAGUUGGGGACUGUCUGUACUUAACAGAUUUUUGUCUUGAUCCCGAAUGGAAUCAAGGGUCACAUAUUGAGUUUUGCAGUCGUGUCUCUUGAAUCCAGAACAGAUCUCCAGUCUUUUUGUGGUCUCUCAUGACAUUGGCAUUUUGAAGAGUUUUACAGAGUGUACUUAGACCUGGAUUUAUCUGAUUGAGCCUCAGGAUUAGAUUUAGCAUAAAUAUUGUUGGCAGGUAUAUUAUAUAGAUGCUGUUGCUUCCUUCUCAGGGCGUCAUAUCAGGAGGAACAACAAGAUGCCAAUUUGUCCACAAUUUGUGACAUUAACUUUGAUCACUCAGUUAAGUGAGUGUCUGCUAUAUUUCUCCAUUGGAAAUGUACCCUGAUCUUUUGUGAUUAUUAAGUGACCUACUGGGUGAUACUUUGAGACAGAAUAUCGUGCUUCCCAACAAUCUCUUACCCAGUGAUUUUAGGAUCUAUUGAUUAUUCUUGCCUGGAUCAGUUGCUGCUUUGCUGGCUAUAAAGUGCUCUUUCAUUUCCCAUUCUUUCUACUUUUAAAAAAAGUUAUCACUCUUCUAUAAAGAAAAGCUUCUUAUCCUAUCCCUCAACUUUUUUAGUAUCAGAUUGUACUCAUGGCUUCUUUCUCUAUCCAGUGUAUUUCUGUAACUAUCCAUUUUGACAGCCAGAUCAUCCCAAAUUUGGCAAGUGGCAGCCCCUUCAAGCUGGACCUGUGUCCUCUGAGCCCCUCUCUGCUCUCUGGCACGAGAUGCUCCAGGCUCAUCUUGCAUUUUCCUUGCCUCAGGCCUGGCAUCAGCCAUUUCUCCAGAAGC